AAACAAGAUUUACCGUGAGAAGUCAGCAGAGGUCAUAGUACUCGAUACAGUCGACGGUAUGGAGGAAGGGC
rfam:[Clostridium] straminisolvens JCM 21531 DNA, contig: contig00105.